GAGUUUGAUCAUGGCUCGGAGUGAACGCUGGCGGCAGGCCUAACACAUGCAAGUCGAGCGGCAGCGCGGGGGCAACCCUGGCGGCGAGCGGCGGACGGGUGAGGAAUGCAUCGGAAUCUACCUCGUUGUGGGGGAUAACCUCGGGAAACCGGGACUAAUACCGCAUACGACCUACGGGUGAAAGUGGGGGACCGCAAGGCCUCACGCGAUGAGAUGAGCCGAUGCCGGAUUAGCUAGUUGGCGGGGUAAAGGCCCACCAAGGCGACGAUCCGUAGCUGGUCUGAGAGGAUGAUCAGCCACACUGGAACUGAGACACGGUCCAGACUCCUACGGGAGGCAGCAGUGGGGAAUAUUGGACAAUGGGCGCAAGCCUGAUCCAGCCAUGCCGCGUGUGUGAAGAAGGCCUCGGUUGUAAG
rnacentral:rRNA from 1 species